UCACUUGGCUCGUGGGUCGAUGAAGAACGCAGUGAAUUGCGUUAAUAAGCACGAAUUACAGAUAUUUUGAGUGCCUUGUUUUCGAUUGCAUAUUGCGCCGUUGGGUUUUGCCCUUCGGCAUA
rnacentral:rRNA from 1 species